rnacentral:rRNA from 1 species
UACGUAGGGCGCGAGCGUUGUCCGGAUUUAUUGGGCGUAAAGAGCUCGUAGGCGGCUUGUUGCGUCAGCUGUGAAAACCCGCAGCUCAACUGUGGGCUUGCAGCUGAUACGGGCAGGCUUGAGUCCGGUAGAGGAGCAGGGAAUUCCUGGUGUAGCGGUGAAAUGCGCAGAUAUCAGGAGGAACACCAGCGGCGAAGGCGCUGCUCUGGGCCGGUACUGACGCUGAGGAGCGAAAGCGUGGGGAGCGAACAGG